UACGUAGGGUGCGAGCGUUAAUCGGAUUUACUGGGCGUAAAGCGUGCGCAGGCGGCCCGUUAAGACAGGUGUGAAAUCCCUGGGCUCAACCUAGGAAUUGCGCUUGUGACUGGCGGGCUCGAGUACGGUAGAGGGGGCUGGAAUUCCUGGUGUAGCAGUGAAAUGCGUAGAGAUCAGGAGGAACACCGAUGGCGAAGGCAGCCCCCUGGGCCUGUACUGACGCUCAUGCACGAAAGCGUGGGGAGCAAACAGG
rnacentral:rRNA from 1 species